rnacentral:rRNA from 1 species
CACGUAGGGUGCGAGCGUUGUCCGGAAUUAUUGGGCGUAAAGCGCACGUAGGCGGCAUUGCAAGUCGGAUGUGAAAUCUUAUGGCUUAACCAUAAAAGUGCAUCCGAAACUGCAGUGCUUGAGUACUUAAGAGGAUCGCGGAAUUCCCGGUGUAGAGGUGAAAUUCGUAGAUAUCGGGAGGAACACCGGUGGCGAAGGCGGCGACCUGGGUCGAUACUGACGCUGAGGUGCGAAAGCGUGGGGAGCAAACAGG